rnacentral:rRNA from 1 species
GCCGCGGUAAUUCCAGCUCCAAUAGCGUAUAUUAACGUUGUUGCAGUUAAAAAGCUCGUAGUUGAAGUGUGGGUGAUCGCUGUUGUGAGACUUCGGUCUCUCGAUAGUAAGUCACCCCCUUCCAGUAUCCAGUAGUGGGUAUUCACUUACUUACUAUUGUGUGUUGGUCCUUUACUGUGAGAAAAUUAGAGUGUUCAAAGCAGGCGUUUGCUUGAAUAGAUUAGCAUGGAAUAAUAAUUGAAGGCUUUCGUGUUCGAUUUGAUUGGUUUGUUCAUGGAAGCAAGGUUAAAAGGAACAGUUGGGGGUAUUCAUAUUCACUAGUUAGAGGUGAAAUUCUCGGAUUUAUGGAAGAUGAACAAGUGCGAAAGCAUUUACCAAGGAUGUUUUCAUUAAUCAAGGACGAAAG